rnacentral:rRNA from 1 species
UCGGGAAUUUUGGGCAAUGGGCGAAAGCCUGAUCCAGCCAUGCCGCGUGAGUGACGAAGGCCUUAGGGUUGUAAAACUCUUUCGUCGGGGACGAUAAUGACGGUACCUGAAGAAGAAGCUCCGGCUAACUUCGUGCCAGCAGCCGCGGUAAUACGAAGGGAGCUAGCGUUGUUCGGAAUCACUGGGCGUAAAGCGCACGUAGGCGGAUAGUUAAGUCAGGGGUGAAAUCCUGGGGCUCAACCCCAGAACUGCCUUUGAUACUGGCUGUCUCGAGGUCGAGAGAGGUUGGUGGAAUUCCUAGUGUAGAGGUGAAAUUCGUAGAUAUUAGGAAGAACACCAGUGGCGAAGGCGGCCAACUGGCUCGAUACUGACGCUGAGGCACGAAAGCGUGGGGAGCAAACAGGAUUAGAUACCCCCGUAGUCCCUGAGCGGGCUGGCAAGGCGCAU